rnacentral:rRNA from 1 species
AAUGACUCUUAGCAACUAAUCUCUCGACUGUCGCAUCUAUGAAGAACAUAUCAAAAUGUGAUACUUGGUGUGAACUGUAGAAUCCCAUGAACCAUCGAGUCUUUGAACGUAAGUUGUGCUCGAAGCCAUUAGGCUGAGGGCUUAUCUGGCUGGGUGUCACGCAAUG